UGCAGGUUCAAGCCCAACCUGGGCAACACGAUAUCUUAGCAAGACUCUGUAAAAACAAAAAAGUACUGGGGAUGUAGAGGAGUAUAAUGAUCCUGGGUUCAACUUCCAGUACUUGGUAAAGAAAGGAAGGAAAAAUAGAAAAAGAGAAUCCUGCCAUUUGUGACAUGAGUAGAAUUCCAGAACACUAUUCAAUUGAAAUAAGCCAAAGAUAUAAAGAUAAACUCAAAGAAGGAGAAAGUAAAAUGGAGGCUACCAGAAGCUGGACACAGUGAUGUGCUCCUAUUGUUCCAGCUACUCAGAAGGUGGAAGCAAGAAGACAGUGUUCACCCAGAAGUUUGAGAUCAGCCUUGACAAAACAGUGAAAUCCUGUCUCAUAGAAAAAGUCUUUGAAGCUCACAUGAAACAAGGGGACACUUUCUGUCUGUACUGGCCAACACAGAAGUCAUCAUACUUCCUGAAGCUUAGGGGAAGCGUCAGAAGGUUUCACAUCAGUGAUGGGACAAAAUUAGCCCUAGCCUAAAUGCUGCUCUAAGUCCCAUAUAAUAAAGCUGAAAAGCAAUAUUCAAAAGAAUAAACCUCAAGAAUAUUUAUAGAAAUGAUAAAUAUCCAGCAUCUAAUAGGUAAAUUUAGGUCUGAAAUCCAGUAAAAUUUAAUUAAG
rnacentral:lncRNA from 1 species